UUAUUUAUUUAUUUUAUUUUUAUGAUUUGAUGGGAGAAAAAAAAUGGAUGAUGAAAAGAUUAUUUCUUUUCGGAAAUUAGAAGGGGAUCUGAGGAAUGAUCAUUUAGUAAGGCUGACAGUGCUUAAAUCAUUCAAUUUUGAAUUUUUGAUACAUGCAAUAUAAACACUUCCCUUUCAUACUUUCUUGUGAUGACAUCUACUGUUAAACUACAAGCACAUGACAACUUGUGCACAUGCUGUUUUACCUCAUGGUUAGUUCGAUUUCUGUUGCAG
rnacentral:misc_RNA from 1 species